rnacentral:rRNA from 1 species
GACGAACGCUGGCGGCGUGCCUAAUACAUGCAAGUCGAACGCAGUGGGGACGGGUGAGUCACACGUGGGUAACCUCCCAUCAGAGGGGAUAACACUUGGAAACAGGUGCUAAACCGAUACUGAUGGAUGGACCCGCAGUGCAUGAGCUAGUGGGGGGGGUAACGGCUCACAAAGGCCACGAUGCAUAGCCGACCGGAUCGGGGUAUCGGCAACACGGGGACGUAGAAACGGCCCAGACUCCUACGGUAGGCAGCAGUAGUGAAUCUGCGGCAAGGGACGAAAGGCUGACCGAGCAACGCCGCGGGAGUGAAGAAGGUUUUCGGAUCGUAAAACUCUGUUGUUAGAGAAGCGGUAUCUAACCAGAAAGCCACGGCUAACUACGUGCCAGCAGCCGCGGUAAUUC